UGACCUUUUAUAGCAUUAUCUAAUAGCAUUUUUUUUAGGAAUGCUAUGAAAAGGAACCAAUUACAGCGUUCUGUGAUGAGAAGCAGAGGAAAAUCUUGCCCCUAAAAUACUAUAGCGUUCAUAGAAGUAUACAAUAGCGUUCUUACUUUAUUUGGCGCCCUAAAUUGCACCCCCUUCUGAAAAUUUCAUUUUUCCUCCUAAAUCAGAGGCGCAAAUAUGGUUCAUCUGCUUCUUCGGCGUUGAAACCCUAGAAAUUGGGUUUCGAUCAAAAGCCCCGCUUAUAAUUUUGCAGUUUCUUUUUCCCUCUUCCCUCUUGAAAAUAGCCAUGAUAUAUCACAACAGCCAAGCUCUCUCUGGUCUUUCUCUUUCACCUACUGUUGACGACCAAUACGCAAUGCCAGCUCUUGUUGCUUCUGCACGCUAGCUGCUCCUGCUGUCACCGAUCAUGGCUGUUUUUCACGUUCUCUCUGCCGAUCUUCGUUGGUCACUAUCCCGUGACUAGACCAUUCUUUGGUUAAGGUUUGAUUCUAAAUUUUUUUCGAUUCUCUUUCUUAAUCCUAAAUCCCAUGUGUAAAUUGCAUAAAUAUCAUGGCCUAGAAAAUUGGGAAUGUCGAUUGAGUCAUAUAGGUUGAUGUUGAUGUCGUUAUGCACGAGGGAAGGUGGAAUCUUACCUAGGUUCUCUUGACACUAGCAACACACACACAAAGCUUUCUGUCUUUUGUUUGUCGUCUAUCCAUCUACAAUUGAUAUCAAUGGGCAAAGAUUUCUAGAGUACUCUUAAAAUCAACCACUCACUUCUCUAUGCCUUACAAUUGUUCGAUGAAAUGUGUAAAUGAACUAUUUUUGACAUUCAAACAUAAAGAAAAGAGAGCUACUAUGAGUUUUUAGUUUGCUUAAUCAGCGUGUACCUUUUGUUUCAUAUUAUUGGUUCUUCUAACAUUGUCUUAUCUCUGUGAAAUAAAGUUCUGAUGACAAGGGACACAACUUAUGAAACCAUUGUCAGAAAAUAACUCCGUAAAUUAUUUACUUGGUAAAUUUCUCAGAUGUGGUCAAAUAUUGUGAAUAUUUGUUUUCUAGGGCUAGAAGGUGUUUGACAAAAAGCCUCACAUAUCCUGAUUACAAAAACUUGAUUGGUUAUCUUCCUAGUAGUAGCUUUGAUGUUUCAAAAGAUUUAGGAAGAUAGUAUUUGAUUGUCCCAUCUGGAAUGAUCAAUUAGAGUUCAAUUGCUCCUAAAGAACUGAGCAUACCUAUAAAAAUGGUUGUAGCAUAGGGGACAGAGAAAAGCAUAAAUAUAGCUUUCAAAAAGAGGAUUAACCUCACGAAAAAAUGCCCUUGUGAUCAUAUAAAUCUGCCGGACACAAUGGCUUUUGAUUAGGUUCUGAUUUUCUUCCCUCUUCUUUUUCCCCUACAUGUAUUUUCUUGCAUAGAGUUGAAAUUGUUUGAUGUUGGAGAAAUUGGGUGGUUUUCACAUUUUUUUUUUUUUUUUGGCAAACCCCUCCUUUGGCCCAAUUUUUACAUAUUGGAAUUCAAGUGUUAUAUCCCUCCUCUCCCAUUCAUUUUUCUUUUGAUUAGGAGGUCCUCAUAGACAUCAUUUUCCUCUUUAAUGAGUUUACUUGGCAAAAAUAACUCAGAAAAGAAGCGCCGAAAAUAUGGCUAUCUUGCUUAUGUCUCUUUCUUUCUUUUUUUCAAGCUAUGUUUUCUUGUCACAAAGGCUACGUAGCUUGUGCUGAAAGUCCUUUUGAAUGUUGUAUACCUGGUUACAUUAUUAUUAAGUAGCUAAUUUGUUCUGCACUUUCUUCUCCAUAUCACUACUCCUGAAUACAAGUAAAUAACCGCAAGAUGUGUAGAUUCAGGUUGGUUUGGCAUUUGUUCAGAAGAUAUGACCUUGAUUUUGAGUGUUGUUCAGUUACAACCCCUCGAAGUUGCUAGGAUUGGUCAAGUGUUGUGGCUGCAAUUGCAAUAAUUGGUGUGAGUUCAUUAAGCUUCUGUUUGCCAAAUCUCCAAAGCUGCAAGCAUGAGAAUCAAGCUGAAGUCAAUGGACAUUGCUGAAGAAUCGAGGAUUCUGAAAAAGUUGAUAGGAUAUCGACGUGCAUCGGUUCGUGGAGUAAUCACUUUCCCAAAAUAAAGGUAUAUGAACAUCAAGUUCAUCAGCUUACUUACCUCCUGGAGUUACUUUUGUUUUGGCUGUCU